rnacentral:lncRNA from 1 species
CACCCUGACGGGGACGAUGUGGCUGGGGCUGGGCAGGGCGGGCAGCCCCCGAUCCCGCAAUAGGACGCGCAGAUGUUUGGCGUGCCGUUGGUGGGCCCUCCUUAGGGCCGCCCCCUCGGCGCUCCCCACCACUUGUAGGGCCGCCAGCGCCCCCGCCGCCACGCUGGGGGGCAGAGCCGUGGUGAAGAUGAAGCCCGGCCCCAAAGAUCGCACGGCGUCCACCAGAGCUUCGCUCCCCGCGAUGUAACCCCCCACGGCCCCCAAUGCUUUACCCAGCGUGCCGGACACCACAUCCACUUUGUGCUGCACCCCAUCCCGCUCGGCGAUCCCUGCGCCCCGCGCCCCAUAGAGCCCCACGGCGUGAACCUCAUCCACGAACGUCAGCGCCCCAUAAGCGUGAGCCACGUCACACAGCUCCUCCAGGGGGGCGAUGGAGCC